AAAAAAUGAACAACCCCAAUUCCAAAAAAGUUGGGACGCUGUGUAAAAUGUAAAUAGAAAUAGAAUGAUUUGCAAACCUUAUAAACCCAUAUGUUAUUCACUAAUUGCAUUCUGUUUUCAUUUAUUUACAUUUUACAGUGUCCAAAAUUCUUUUCAAAAUUGGGGUUGUAUACUCUCUUUCUGUUGGAGUGACCAGGCGCCAUAUGUCAAUCAAUCCAAUAUCCUCUUUUAGCAUAAGAAGGGAAGAUCUAUCUCUUGGUAUAGAAAGUCCUUGAUAUUUACUCUUAACCAUAAUCCCAUCCAUAACCUGAAUAAAUUCCUCAGCCAAAAUUAUUUGCCCCUCUUUGUCACCAAGAAUCUUGUUUACUUUAUUAAUAAAACCCGGAUCUGUAUUAAUAGGGGCAUACACAUAAUAUCACUUUAGAUUAUAUGCAAUGUAUAUGACUUCCAUUAAUGAGGGUUUCUAUACACAUAAUCCUCUCAACAUCGACUUUAGUUUCUGUUAUCAUUACAAAAUUCAGCCUCUAAUUUAUCAGGAUCAUUACUUAAUUUUGUUUGCUCAUAAAUAAUGAAUAAAAUACAUUUGUACGGAAGCCCUAAGCGGCCAUGCAUUAUUAAUUUUUUUCUUUGUUGUUUUCUCGUGAUUGUGACAUAAAAAAAGCUGUUUCCUUGUGACGUAAAUUUAUCACGAGAAAAUCUCACGCUUUGUGAAUGGGACUGGUGUUACAUGCAAGUUGGCAUCUACACCAUUAUAAAUAUAAUAAUUUCCUGUUGUAGAGAUGGAUUUUAUCUCCACAUUAAGAGAGAGGGAUAUCCUCUUCUCAAGUGUCGGACACUGGAGUGGCAGUCGUCAAUCCUGCAGGGAUGAGGUAUAUUUUUGUAGGCCAACCCGGAAGUUAUUAUCACCCUGGUUCCCUCGACAAAAAUCCAAUAAGAGUUUUCCAGUGAAUUUGGAUUAUUGCAGAAAAUAAACACUGUGACUAACAAGUAUAAACACAACAAGGCUGUAGUAGAUUAGUUUUCCUGUUUGGCGUGAUGAUGUUUAAUGUCCUCGACAACCUCUGUAAUACCAUUUAGCCACUUGUUAGCAACUGUCUCUUUCAAGACACGUAAAAGCUUUAAAAAAAAAAAAAAUCCUGAGUGGGGUAUUACUGAUGUGUUUUAGUGGUUCACAAACUGGGGUACGUGAGGUGACGGAGGGGGUACGGGAGCAAAAGGCUGAGAUUUACUGUUCAUUUAAUUCCGCCUCACUGAAUAACAUUAAAAUUCUAAUCCAUGUUUUUCUCACGGCCAAAAAAUAAACUUGUGCCCCCUCCAGUGUACAAACAGCAAAAUUGCAAUGUUAUAAAGGUCAAAUAUAUGACAUCCAAAGAAAUUAUCCUGUCUUUCGCGGUCAAAACUGCAUCCACUCACAAUCAUGCGUCAGUGCGCAUCUUACCGCAUGUCAUUUAUCACCAGCACAUGGCUAUAUGAUGAAGUUAAGUAAUAGCUCGUAACCUUAAAAUGGAGAAGUACAAAGAUUUCGGCCCGCAACCACAGCAAGCACCGCUGAUCCCCAGUCCUCAGACAGCAGUGGCCCAGGUCCCUCUAACACCGCAUCCGUAGCAAGUGUACUCAUUGCUACUAGCCCAGGUCACACUGAUGCAGACAGCGAUGUAUGAGUUGAAACGCCAUCUCUUCUUCACAAGCAGUUCGCAGAAAAAACAUCAAAGAUGCGCAGAUAUGAUGAGAAAUAUAUUUCUUUGGGCUUUACAUACGCUGACAGUGAAGAAAAUCCCCAGCCACAGUGUGUAUAUGUGCAAACGUACUCUUUCAUAACUGCAUGAAACCAGCAUUUCUGCGCAGACAUUUAGAAACAAAGCAUGCCAUUUACUUUUUGCUAAAUAAACCUCGAGAGCUUUUUGAAAGACAUUUAAGACAACUCAGAAGUAGUAAGACCCUCAUAACAGUGUAGGAAAACCUAAAUAGGAAGGUCUGGAAGCAUCCUACAUGGUGAGCUACAGAGUGGCUGAGACAGGAAAACCCCAUACUAUUGUGGAGGACUUCAUUCUUCCUGCUGCAGCUGAUAUAGCUGGUUUAAUGCUUGGCGAAAAGCCCCCAAAACAAAAAAACAAUAGAGAGGAUGCCAUUUGGUAAGGUGAAAUUGAUUAAAUUUAUAUUUCUCAAUUUAUUUAAUCAUUCCUCUCUUUCCCUUGUAAACAUUACACAAUCAUACAUGUUCAACAGUCUUCACCACAUGUCAAGCAUAAUCAUGUUUGAUGUUUCCCUAUUUUCAGCAACGAAUGAUUUAAUCCAGAAUGUCCUAUUCGGAGCCGAGUGAUAAUUGUAUUUUCUCUCCUAUUUUUUGAGACCUAUUCUCCCUUUCCCAACCUGUUUUUGGCUAUUGAAUAGGUGCCUUCCCUUUUUUCCUUUGUCCCACAUUUCACAUUCACAAGUUCUCUCAUUCUUCCUUCUACUGCUUCUUUACCUAGUGGUAUAUGGUAUAUAUGGUAUAACUUUAACAUCCACAUGAUCCAUUGUCCACUAUUUCAUUUCCUCAUACUCCCACAUGUGCUGCUACACAAAGAAAUCUCAGAACCAUCCCUAGUUUCUGAAUUCUAAGCAGAUGUGUAAGUAUCUCAUAUACUAAAUCUUGUCUUGAAUCAGACUUCCCAUUUAAUAAGCUAUUUAAAGGUGAUUGAGAGUCUGGACAAAUAGCAGCAAAAUCACUAUAAACUCUGUUGUAAAAACUGAUACAUAAUUAGUUGUCCAUUUUUUUAAUGCUGCCUUUGAACCUCUUAAUAUAUACCACCGCAGCUGUUUUUUCUAAUGUAGGAUCUUUUGAACCAUUGGUGAAUAUGUGGGGCAUUGAAGAGUAUUCCUGAUCUAAAUACUGCUGUACAAUAACCUCCUUAGGUAUAUAUGUUUCAUUCUUAACUUUAUAUUAUAGAUGGAAAUUGACUUGAGCCAUGGGGAACAACCAGGGAGGUUUAUUUAGUACUACAAUUGUUGGAUUAACUGAAGUUUCUGUAACUCCCAAAUUCAUAGACUCUUUAUUCGCUGUCCAACCAAAACUUCUUAUAUUAUUAUUCCCACACUUCCAGCACUCUUGUAGUAUUUCCUUAACUGGGUGUGUCUCAGAAUGUCCUUUCAUAUUAAUCCAAUAAUUCAUUGUUAAUUUUAACUUGCGUAUACACAUGGGCAUUUCUCCCACCUCCAUUUGCGCUGCUGUUAUUGGAGAGGAUACAAAAGCACCACAACAUAUUCUUAACAAUUGUGCCUGUACUGUUUCAAUUUUCCUCAUCAAGGCUAAUGAUGCAGACCCAUAUAUUAUAUAUCCAUAAUUCAGUAGUGACCUGAUCAAUGCACAAUAUAUUUGUUAUGAAGAUUUUUGACUAGCUCCCCAUUCCAUUCCUGCUAGACAUCUUAAUAAAUUAUUAAUUUUUUUGUUUAUUUAUAUAUAUUAUGACUGGUUAAUUGCUGUCUGGAAAGCAUGAAUCACAGAUCGAGCUUUUGCUGAUGUAAAUGGUGCCAUGGAACAGUUAAAACGUAGUCAUAAUAAUCACUAAGGCCUUGUAUAUAUUUCCAGGUUGCCAAGGGCAAACUGCUUUAUGUUUGUGUUCAUGUAUGUUUCAGUGACAGCAGAUGGCAGUGAAGAGAAGCAGCGUUAUUAGAUUAGACAUUCCCAAACUAGAUGUGUUUGUGGACAGUGGGGAUCUGUUCUCUGAUAUGCUGGGACACGUGAUAGGACUGACGGAAAGUCCCAGCUUUAUUUAUACUCAACAUCAUUCUGGGUUGUUCCCCUCAUACCAGUCAACGCUUUUAAUAAGAAGAAUUUGAACCUGUUUCACUAAAUUUUAAUGUUUAUGUGCGUCAGAACCUUUUUUUCAGCACAGAUAAUAAAAAACUGCACAACUUAAACACAGAGAGUAGUGUAUACAGGUAAGUGACACUCAGUGCCCCUGCUUUUUUUUUUUUAAGUUAUCAUUUGCUAGAAAAGAAACUCUCUAGAUUUUACCGGGCUGAUUGCUCAGAUUUAUUACUUCCUACACUGUCAGUCAAAUGUUUACCUUUUUUGGUUAAACUUAAAGAAAUGAGUUAAAUACCAUAGAAUUACAGACACAUACACUCACCAUCCAGUUUAUUAGAAAGAUCUGUACACAGGAGUCAUUCGUGCAGUUAUCCAGUCAGCCAAUCAUGUGGCAGCAGCACAAUGUAUAAAAUCACGCAGAUACAGGUCAAAAGCUUCAGUUCUCUGUAAACUUUAGAGACUGUUGUGUGUGAAAAUCCCAGGAGAUCAGGAGUUUCUGAAUUAUUCAAAUCAGCCCUUCUGGCAGCAACAACCAUGCCACAUUUAAGGUCACAGAGAUAACACUUUUCUCCCUGUUCUGAUGCUUGACAUGAACAUUAACUGAAGCUCUUGAUCUGUAUCUGCAUUAUUUUUGCAUUGCACUGUUGCCACAUGAUUGGCUGAUUGGAUAACUGCAUGAAUGAGCAGACGUUCCUAUUAAAGUUGAUGACGUGUUUUGUUUUACACUUGACACUAUGUCUAAUAUCAACUGUAAGACCAAUGUAGACUUAGAGUAACGUCUCCAUGGCACCAGUACUUCACUUAUGGAUCUGUGAAAGAUGAAGACAGAAGCCACAUUGUAGACAGCAAAGAGCUU
ensembl:lncRNA